CCAAAGAAACUAAUGGGCCAAUUCCUCUUCAUCCUUUAGGUCUUAGUAUAAAUGUCACUUCUUCCAGGAAGCCUUCCCUAAUCCCUCGGCACCAGGUUAAGGAUCCCAGUUGUUUUCCCAUUGCUCUCUGUUCCUGUCUAUCAACACACUUAUUCCACUCUGUUGUAAUUCCUCUUGAUUAAUAGUUCAUCCUAGAUCAGCUGUCAGCUAUGUGAACAUAGGGGGCAGGUCCGUCUUGGUCACCAUUGAAUUCCCAAAGCCUACUGCAGUGCCUGACACCAAGGCUUUGCAUAAACACCUGCUGAAUGAAUGUCUUCAGGAUUACUGUGAAGAUGAAUUGAAAGCAGCUGUUACGUGCCUGGCACAAAUUGUUUUCUAGCCAUCCUGGAGCUGCAGACUUGCAGACUUGCAAAUACUAUCCAGAUCCUGGGAAACCAAGGAAGACAUCAAUAAAGCUAUGCUGAUUCCACCCCUCCAGCAGGACCCUAAGAUAACAGCAAGGAUGGGAGGAGAAACCAGUUGGAGCUUUGGCAAGACCUUGCACCUGGAACCUUGAAUGGGGUCCCUGCAGCUCAUGUCCCCCUCCCUCCUGAUUUUCAUUUCCCAUGUUCCAUUCCCUCAG